rnacentral:rRNA from 1 species
GAUCCUGGCUCAGGAUGAACGCUAGCUACAGGCUUAACACAUGCAAGUCGCGGGGCAGCAUGAAGUCAGCUUGCUGACUCUGAUGGCGACCGGCGCACGGGUGAGUAACGCGUAUCCAACCUGCCUGUUACCACGGCACAGCCCGUCGAAAGGCGGAUUAAUGCCGUAUGUGGUCCUUUGCGGGCAUCUAAUUAGGACUAAAGGUUCAGCGGUAACGGAUGGGGAUGCGUCCGA